CUCAGCCUCUCAAUGUGCUGUCAUGGUGUGUGCUGCCAUGCUUGACUUCAACUUUUUGAAAAGACCCACAGGAGAUCCGGCCUUCUGGAAAACUCCAGUGACAAGCUUUCUAGGAAAAGCAGGCCUCUAUGACGUCAAGGCUAUGGAGCCGGGAGUGAGGACCAACCUCCAGGAAGGGCCCACCCAGGGCUGCGGGAGACCUGUGGCACAGUGCUAGAACGUUCUGAAGCCCUCUGGACAAGACGGCAGCCCGCUCUGCUCCUGAAGGCCCCUCCCCAGUACAGCCAGCCUGUGUCUCUCACACACCGUGGGGCGCCCACCCCUUUCCACUUGGCAGUAUGGACAGGACAGCCAUGCGAGGUGAUUUUUUCCAGCAAGGAAUGGAAUCUUCCCUGAACGACAGAGGAAACAGGAUGAGAAAGUGGCUUGAGGUUGAAAGACAAUGGAGCAGAGCUGGCAGCUUCCGCAGCAGGCCUGCCGCUGGGUCUCCGCCCAAGGCAGUGGGCUUGUGUCCCUGGAGAAACGCAAAUCUGAACACUGCUCAGCAGUCACCUGUCAC